AACCUUGUCAAUUUUCGGCUGCCGAAGAUUAAGUUCGGCCUCCUAAAAUUGCCCAUUUUCGGCCGCCGAAGCUUAGUUCGGCCGCCGAAACUGCGCGCUCCUUAAAAGCCCCCGCGACAGCUCAUCUUCUUCCUCGCGCGACUCUCUCUCUCCCCCGAAGCUUUCUCUCUCUCCCCGAAGCUCCCUUCGUUCUCCCUCUCAAAA
rnacentral:lncRNA from 1 species